UCGAGCGAACACUUUUGCGGAUUUCUUCGGAUUGAAGCAAUUGUGACUGAGCGGCGGACGGGUGAGUAACGCGUGGGUAACCUGCCUCAUACAGGGGGAUAACAGUUGGAAACGGCUGCUAAUACCGCAUAAGCGCACAGUACCGCAUGGUACCGUGUGAAAAACUCCGGUGGUAUGAGAUGGACCCGCGUCUGAUUAGGUAGUUGGUGGGGUAACGGCCUACCAAGCCGACGAUCAGUAGCCGACCUGAGAGGGUGACCGGCCACAUUGGGACUGAGACACGGCCCAAACUCCUACGGGAGGCAGCAGUGGGGAAUAUUGCACAAUGGGGGAAACCCUGAUGCAGCGACGCCGCGUGAGCGAUGAAGUAUUUCGGUAUGUAAAGCUCUAUCAGCAGGGAAGAAAAUGACGGUACCUGACUAAGAAGCCCCGGCUAACUACGUGCCAGCAGCCGCGGUAAUACGUAGGGGGCAAGCGUUAUCCGGAUUUACUGGGUGUAAAGGGAGCGUAGACGGCAUGGCAAGCCAGAUGUGAAAGCCCGGGGCUCAACCCCGGGACUGCAUUUGGAACUGUCAGGCUAGAGUGUCGGAGAGGAAAGCGGAAUUCCUAGUGUAGCGGUGAAAUGCGUAGAUAUUAGGAGGAACACCAGUGGCGAAGGCGGCUUUCUGGACGAUGACUGACGUUGAGGCUCGAAAGCGUGGGGAGCAAACAGGAUUAGAUACCCUGGUAGUCCACGCCGUANACGAUGAAUACUAG
rnacentral:rRNA from 1 species